GAAAAUGAAGACAUCUUCCUACAUAGAAGGAGUUAAAAACAUUUAUCUCCUACAUGAAAAGAAACGCACACUCAUAUAGACACACAGCUCCAUAAGGAUGAACUGUAGCAAAAUUAAAAGGGAUCUAUUUAAAUCGAAGCACAGGCUCCAGGAACCUGGACCUAAUUCAGGUGUAUGAGGGAAAUGCAUGUCGGGAACACAGCUUUUGUGGGCCUGGAAAACAGGGGGAAAAAAGGACGAGAUUAAAGAAGAAUGACUUUGGAGUUUCUAAGUGGCUUAGCAGUGAAGGAUCCUGUGUUGUCACUGCUGUGGCCUGGGUCUCUGGUGUGGUGCAGGUUUGAUCCCUGGCGUGGAAACUUCCCUAUGCCGUGGGCAUGACCAAAAUAAAUAAAUAAAGACGAAUGACUUUGCAAACAAAGUAGUUUCUGCUCAACAAGCUCUCUGAUAAAGAACCAGGAAGCUCCUGGGAUGUGAUGAAAGAAACACGGAUAUUUUUCUCUCAACAAUAAAACUGAAGAAAAACAAAAAGCCCCAUAAGAAAGUUGUGGCAGACCCUGAAUCCACUUGGUCUUAGGACAUGGAAUGUCUUCUCCACCACCGGAAAAUAUACCCCAAAACCCUAGAGUACAGACAUGGAUCCUGCCGGCUUUGCCUUACACGUUCCAUCAACAUUCUUUAACUAAUUAGGAGAAUUGAAAGAGAAAAUAAAAGGAGGCUUUUCUGACCCACUUUGUGGUGACAGCUCAGGAAUGUUGUGAUGGGAGUGGAAGCCGCAGGAAGCGGGGUGCAGGGGCCGGUCCCCUAACCUACGGAAUUGUACCUGAUGUUGGUACCUGGCCGCAUGGAAUGCCCCAGUGCCAGGAUGAGGGCUCUGAGUCCAGCUGAUUCCAGGAGUCCACAGGCAACAAGCUCAUCGCAGUUGGUUGCUGUGGAAUAUUAAUCACUUUAAGUAUCAGAUUUGACCUAUGUCACAGGCUCCCUCGAUUUCUUUCAGAAGACAGCGACGGCCACAUAGACAUGGGGCCCCGUGAACCUGAUGGACAGGAUACGGGAGCAUCCAAGGAUGCAGGCCUCCCAGAGGUACCACCACCUCAUGGAUGGGAGAGCUUCUAAUAACAUGGAGUUAUGUCUCCUUCUCCGUGUAUUGACUCACCCUUCUUUACAGAAAACAGUAUUUGUAUAAUGAUAUCAUCAACUGCAUUGACUAUUUUUUAUUUUAUUUUGUUUAUUUGUUUUAUUAUUAUUAUUAUUAUUAUUAUUAUUAUUUUUAGGGCUGCUCCUGAGGCAUAUGGAGGUUCCCAGGCUAGGGGUCCAAUUGGAGCUAUAGCUGCCAGCCUACACCACAGCCACAGCAAUGCAGGAUCCACGCCUCAUCUGUGACCUACACCACAGCUCACAGCAACACCAGCUGCUUAACCUACUGAGAGGGGCCAGAGAUCAAACCUGCGUCCUUUGGAUACUAGUCAGAUUCGUUUCUGCUGAGCCAGGACGGGAAGCCUGACUUUAGUUUUUAAAAUUAACCCAUAGGCAAUUAAGUUGUUGAGGCAAGAGUUGAUUAUAGAUGAAACAUUAAUAUUAUAAGGCCUGAUAAAUGAAAAGUCGUGAUGGAGCUGACGGAACUAGGAGGAUGGUACUCAGUGGGGGAGGAUAGGAUAGGAGAAAUAGUUUCUUCAUCUUCCGUAGCAGAAAACCAAGAAAUAGUUUAGUAGUAACGGCUUAUACUUAAAUUUAGUACAAAUAGUAUAUAGUUGUUGAAACGAGAGUUAGAGGUUUUCAUAUAUUUUUAGAGUUAAAAAUAUUAAAUUGACCCAAUAAAAACUAUUGUUAUAAUUAAGAAACUUCUGGAAGGUAAGAAAGGAAAAAGCAUCAUGAGCUAACUAUUUCAUCUACAGAGUGGGGAGUCAAACUGCUAAUCAGAGAUAUAUUAUCAGGGAACGAAGACUAGGUGAUGGGGAAAGAUUGGGGACUUUUUUUUUUUUUUUUUAAUAUCCUGCUUGGUGGUUCCAUUUUUUUAACCUUGCGUCCAUAUAUUUUUUUUUUUUUUUAAUUCUUGCUCUGUCUCUCGCCCUUUCUAACCCUUUCGCUCGCUGAUCCAAACACGCUAUGGAUGUUAAAAAGCAAAAAGCAGCUGAUCACUUUCAAAAUGGCCCCAGCGUGGGGUUGCUCAGGCUCACUUGGCGGGCGAGCUCUUUUUCUCCCACCCCUUAUACCCUGCUCUGGAAUCUUCUCUGACUCUGAGACCAGCUCGCUGGUGGGGGAGGGGAGGGCAGAAUCGCAGUCUCACGUUUGCAAAGCUUCGGGCAAAGGUUCUCUCUGCUCCAUCCUGGCGGUCUGCUUUGUUCCUGUGUGUCUGGGUGGGGUGGGGGGUGGGGCGCCCGGGCGCCUCCCCUCCCCCCUGAAGCUAGAACUCCCUCGGGUGGACCCAGUGUGAGGGCAGGCAGGGGAGGGACUUGCUCAGGGACUUGAUGCUGGGUUGGGGAGUGACAAGGUCUGAUUUCUACUUGAGAGAAAUCCCAGCCUCCCAGGGGAGCAGAGCCUGGAGGCAGGAAGGCCAGAUUGUCACCCGUCCCAGGGACACAUGCAGGAGGUGACGAGGCAGCAGAGGGACAGCUGUGCUGGGGCUGGAGGAGGGAUCCAGUGUCCCUGGGACCUGGGAGAACCAGCUUGGCCUCUUCCGGGACCCCCAUGGCUGCCUCGUGCAUGAUGCGUUUACCACUGCGGUUUGGGGGGUCGCGUGUGAACGUGGGCCUGUCUGGCCGUGCACACCUUUGCCCUGAGCAUGGUGAGCCUGAUGUCUCGUGGACGGCAGGACGCCGCAGGUGCGUGACCUGGACGGGUCCGGAACUGGAGUCCCGCCCCGCCCGCUCCGGGCUCUGCGCUCUGCCCUCCUGGAUGAGGCCUCACUCCCGCAGUGGGGAAUUUCAGAAGUGAAAUUCGAAGUUGCUACUGAUUUGAGUCACCUUUUCUUCUUCUUUCAAUAAUGACUCUUGAGUGAAAAUUAGGCUGCUGUGUGGGUGGCUGUUAAGGGUGCCUCGUUUCCACUUCGGAGAGCUGCCCACACAGCAGAUUUUAGUAGCACUGGAAGUGGGACCCGAUGUUGCCUCCCAGCUGCUAUAUGCCAAUAAAAAGCCCUUAAGCUGAUUAUAAGGAUGCCAAUUUAAAUGUCCGGGUACCAUUUCCAUGAGGGGAGAAAUGUCUUCAUUGAUUCUGAGGCCUCAUGUCCCCUCUGGGGGCACAUCCACCUGUGACUCUGGCAGAGGGUGGCCCCGGCAGGGGAGGGGUGGCUGUGGAAAGAGCACUGGACACAGAGUCAGGGCACCAGGGUCCAGCUGCUGACCUGCCGCUGUACUGUGGUUUAAGAGAGUCGCUUCUUGGAGUCCCUCUCAUGGCUCAGUGGAAAUGAAUCUGACUAGCAUCCAUGAGGAUGCAGGUUCGAUCCCUGGCCUCACUCAGUGGGUUAAGGAUCCGGCGUUGCUGUGGUGUAGGUCGCAGAUGUGGCUCAGAUCCUGCGUUGUUGUGGCUGUGGUGUAGGCCGGCAGCUGCAGCUCUGAUUUGAGCCCUAUCCUGGGAACCUCCAUAUGCCGCAGGUGCGGCCUUAA
rnacentral:lncRNA from 1 species